ACGACUUUCCAAGUCGUCAGGUCGCUGUACAGUUCACACUACACAACUGGAUCUCUUGUAAUCAGGAAUCUUUUAAGUCGUUGUGUAUGUCACACUACACGACAGAUCGGCAUUAGGGGAUUACACACUACACCAUCUAUCACCGGGAGGAAUCUCAGGCGAGUCUACCUGCUCUCAGCCAGAUAAGUAGCACUGUUGCUAACACAGCUAGGAGUCCGAUCAGCACAGCUAGGAGUCGGUGACACUGACAAAAAGACCGGCGAGGGAUCUGGAGGUGGCAGAGAUGAGGAUGCUGAGAUUCACACUGGGAGUGACAAGGAUAGACAGGAAACAAAGUUGGGGAGGAGAGCAGAACUUCAUACAGCAGAACUUCAGUGAGAGAAAAACCUGAGUGUAAUAGGCGAAGUCAACAUGCCUCAGCCAAUCAGAGCACAGCAAUCAUGGGCUGUGGGGUGUGCCGUGACAAACAGCAGCCAAUCAGAGCUGAAUGUUUGAGUGAGUGAGCUGUGAAUGGAACGGUGGGAUCACCCCACAGCCUCAGUGGGGUCUACACUACAGAGAACAUGGCUAUGGUUACUGCAGGCAGAAAUCUGAUCCUCUCCACAUCAAGACCUGCUCAGUGGAUUUUUGAAGUACAAAAAGUGCCAAGAUACAGUG